rnacentral:rRNA from 1 species
GUGAGGAAUAUUGGGCAAUGGGCGAAAGCCUGACCCAGCCACGCCGCGUGAGUGAUGAAGGCCUUCGGGUUGUAAAGCUCUGUGGGGAGGGAAGAAAAAGCGGGAGAGUAACUGCUCUCGUGUUGACGGUACCUCCUUAGCAAGCACCGGCUAACUCUGUGCCAGCAGCCGCGGUAAUACAGAGGGUGCAAACGUUGCUCGGAAUUACUGGGCGUAAAGCGCGUGUAGGCUGACAUGCAAGUCGGGUGUGAAAUCCCAGGGCUCAACCUUGGAACUGCACUCGAAACUGCACGUCUUGAGUACUGGAGAGGGAAGCGGAAUUCCGGGUGUAGAGGUGAAAUUCGUAGAUAUCCGGAGGAACACCAGUGGCGAAGGCGGCUUCCUGGACAGUAACUGACGCUGAGACGCGAAAGCGUGGGGAGCAAACAGGCUUAGAAACCCGAGUAGUCC